CUCUUUUUGCAGUUUAUAAGCAUGAAGAUGGUGUUUUCAUGCUGCUGUGUAAAAUGUGGCUUCCUUCAAAAGCUUUGUUACAGUGUCAGCAUAUCGCCCAUCUGGCG